rnacentral:lncRNA from 1 species
AGUGGGGGAGUGUGCAGUGGUUGACUGUCUGAUGCGGUGGUGCAGGUUUCAGUGUUGCACAGGUCGGCCCAGUGCUGCCGGUGUUUUUGCCGGGGGUAACUACUUUGGCACAACACCUGUUGUCCGGUAGGGUGCCUGCCGAGCUCAAGCAUGCUGUUGAUGUCAGGAGCAGAGGAGAGGGUGAUCUCCUGCAAGGAAACAGACCAGGAUGCAAACGUCCGCUAUGUUUAGCUGAAGACCUGACUGCCCCCUGGACCAGCUGUUCAGCAAUGCACUAACAAGCGCCGCAAGUGUUUUUGUUCUUCUUUUCUUUUACAGAGGGGGAAUAUUAUUUAAUGGGACAGCGAAAACGCAACAACAAAAAAGAUUUUUUUUUGUUAUUUUCACGGACUAAUAGGCACACGGGUUGAGAAAUGUUUCCCACCAAGCAUCGAUUAGGCUUCACCUCUUCAUGCCUCACACUUCAAUGAGAAGAAGUCGACGUCCGGAGUAGAUUAAACCGCACAAGCAAAAGCCCCACUCCCCCCCCCCUCUCGGGAGAGGAGAAAAUGCGUGUGGAUCUGUUUUGGGUCUGUUUGUGGUGUUUGCUUCGCCCCGGUGCCACCGGUCAAGGGCAGUCGACGGCCGUUUGUUCGCUCUCAUGGGGGUGCAGACUGCUCCGGGAGAGGGUUGACCGCCGUCCCAACCGGGCUCAGUACUUUCACCUACUACCUAUCAUUAUAACGAUCAUGGUUUUCCACAUGACUGUCCAUUCUUACCCAUGCUCUCUGGUUGCGCGGAGAGCAUGGAGAAGGCUGAGGCCAAAAUUCCACUCCUCUUUCGUUGGUGCAUCUUCUGGUCCAGGUCCCGAGGACAGAUCCGAAGACCCGUCUGCUGUUUAA